CACCGAGCCCUGCCCUACGCCAGCGCCAGGCUGAGGUGCCCAACGGCCUCUAUAUACAGCCCCGUGUACUGGCAGGAAGGCCCCACCGCCCUGACCUGGCUGGACCUUCAUCAACGCAACGGCUCCAUCAGCCUGGACAAGGCGACCGGCGGCGGGACCCUGCUGCUUUCCUCCUGGAACGGCACCGAUGCCAGCUAUUACCAGUGCUACGUGGGCGGGCGGCUGGUGGGCCGGUUCCUGGUUACCCCACCUAGGGUGCUGGCCCCCGCCCCAGAGCUGACCCGCGCCUACUCAGCCAUCGAGUCCCUGGUGGUGGGGCUGGCCAUCUUCCUCAUCUUCCUCCUCUUCCUCAGCAUCCUGCAAUCCUGCCGCAGGAAGCCAGGAACCAUCAUGGCUUGAGGGGGCUGCAGCUGACAUCAUCGCGAGGGGCUGGGGAAUAAACAUAUUGACCAGCA